rnacentral:rRNA from 1 species
UGAGGAAUAUUGGUCAAUGGGCGGGAGCCUGAACCAGCCAAGUCGCGUGAGGGAAGACGGUCCUACGGAUUGUAAACCUCUUUUGCCGGGGAGCAACGGGGUCCUUGCGAGGGUCCUAUGAGAGUACCCGGAGAAAAAGCAUCGGCUAACUCCGUGCCAGCAGCCGCGGUAAUACGGAGGAUGCGAGCGUUAUCCGGAUUUAUUGGGUUUAAAGGGUGCGUAGGCGGGCUGUUAAGUCAGCGGUCAAAUGUCGGGGCUCAACCCCGGCCUGCCGUUGAAACUGGCGGCCUCGAGUGGGCGAGAAGUAUGCGGAAUGCGUGGUGUAGCGGUGAAAUGCAUAGAUAUCACGCAGAACUCCGAUUGCGAAGGCAGCAUACCGGCGCCCUACUGACGCUGAGGCACGAAAGCGUGGGUAUCGAACAGG